GUGCCACCAGAGAAGCCGCGGACCCGGCCCGCAGAUAACACCCGGGCUUGCAGAGCGCUUUCAUCUGCCCGACGCGGAAAUCUCCUGCAGCGAUCUUCUACCUUCAGCGUGCAUCCGCAGCACCCAGAGGGCACGUUAAAGAGAGAUUGAGAACCACCAGCAAAACUGCUGAUUCAGUAGGUUUGGGGUGGGGCUGAAAAAUGUGCAUUUCUAACAAGUUCCUGAGACCGACUGUUGCUGCUGGCCUCAGGACCAAUUUUUUCUAUAAAGCGCAUGGAAGUCAGAGUGCACCCAAGAGAUUGUUAACCCUUAAAAAACAGAAAAAAAAAAAAGAAAUCAACAAGUUAGAGGCAAAUAAGUGUGAAAGAAAGUGGAUAGUCUAUUUGGGGAUUCUGAAAGUCCCUGAGGAAAGUUGACUUUGGAGACCAGAUCACGAAGCACGACCUCUUAAUUGCCGACCUUUUGUUAUAGAUUAACUCCCUUAUUUUCUUGUUCCCAGCUCAGACCAGAUGGCAUCUGAGAUAAAAUACGCAUUGAAUAAGAUAAAUGACCGCUUGACUAUUACAUCCUUAAUGUGGAAUGUUAAAUAGACCCUUCCCAAAAAGAAACACUGCCUUGAACCAAUCAAAUUGCUAUGCGUUAACCUUCUAUGGAAAAUGUUGACAUCCUGUUAAGCUUCCCAGACCCUGCCUGUGUAAACGACCCUCAAACUUCUCCCUUUCGAAGCACUGACCCCCAUCUUUUGGAGUCUGUGUCCUACCGGGUCGCCAUCCUCAAACUUUGCACUCAAAUAAACCAAUAUUUAAUCAUA
rnacentral:lncRNA from 1 species